rnacentral:rRNA from 1 species
GCGGUGUAAAAUGAGCGUGCGUCCUAUUAGCUAGUUGGAGAGGUAAUGGCUCACCAAGGCUACGAUGGGUAGGGGUUCUUAGUGGAAGGUCCCCCACACUGGCACUGAGAUACGGGCCAGACUCCUACGGGAGGCAGCAGUAGGGAAUAUUGGUCAAUGGGCGCAAGCCUGAACCAGCCAUGCCGCGUGCAGGGUGAAGGCUCUCUGAGUUGUAAACUGCUUUUGUACAGGAGCAAAAAAGCCCCUGCGGGGACUCUUGAGAGUACUGUAAGAAUAAGCACCGACUAAUUCCGUGCCAGCAGCCGCGGUAAUACGGAAGGUGCAAGCGUUAUCCGGUUUUAUUGGGUUUAAAGGGUGCGUAGGCGGCUUAUUAAGUCAGUUGUGAAAUCCUAGUGCUUAACGCUAGAACUGCGAUUGAUACUAUUAGGCUUGAGUUAAGAAGAGGU